GGGAGCUCUCCCAUAUGGUCGACCUGCAGGCGGCCGCGAAUUCACUAGUGAUUAGAGUUUGAUCCUGGCUCAGAACGAACGCUUUCGGUAUGCUUAACACAUGCAAGUCGAACGGAUUUAUUUAGAGCUUGCUUUAAAUAAAUUAGUGGCAGACGGGUGAGUAACACGUGGGAAUCUGCCCAUCAGUACGGAAUAACAUUUAGAAAUAAUUGCUAAUACCGUAUAUUCUCUUUGGAGGAAAGAUUUAUCGCUGAUGGAUGAGCCCGCGCCAGAUUAGGUAGUUGGUAGGGUAAUGGCCUACCAAGCCAAUGAUCUGUAGCUGGUUUGAGAGAAUGAUCAGCCACACUGGGACUGAGACACGGCCCAGACUCCUACGGGAGGCAGCAGUGGGGAAUAUUGGACAAUGGGCGAAAGCCUGAUCCAGCAAUACCGAGUGGGUGAUGAAGGCCUUAGGGUUGUAAAGCCCUUUUCAGCAGGGAAGAUAAUGACGGUACCUGACCAAGAAAGCCCCGGCUAACUCCGUGCCAGCAGCCGCGGUAAUACGAAUCGAAUUCCCGCGGCCG
rnacentral:rRNA from 1 species